rnacentral:rRNA from 1 species
AGCUCCAAAAGCGUAUACCAAAGUUGUUGCGGUUAAAAAGCUCGUAGUUGGAUCUCAGGGAGGCGCGUGCGGUCGGCCCCUCGUGGUCGUCACUGCACGUGCCUCUCACCGGCCGCCGGUCGCGUGUGCUCUUCACUGAGCGUGCGUCGGCUGCGGCCACGUUUACUUUGAAAAAAUUAGAGUGUUCAAAGCAGGCGUCUCUUUUCGCCCGCAUACCCCAGCAUGGAAUAAUGGAAUAGGAGGCUGGUUCUAUUUUGUUGGUUUUCGGAAUCUAGCCUAAUGGUUAAGAGGGACGGCCGGGGGCAUUCGUAUUGCGGCGUUAGAGGUGAAAUUCAUAGAUCGCCGCAAGACGAACAAGUGCGAAAGCAUUUGCCAAGAAUGUUUUCAUUAAUCAAGAACG